UGUGUAGCAUGUUAGCUGGCU
rnacentral:piRNA from 1 species